rnacentral:lncRNA from 1 species
GCACUUCCAGUUGGCUUAAAAAUUGUCUCUGGAAAGAUGCUCGGUUCAUGCCAUACAAGUCAUAUAAGCUGAGAACCUAUCGCGGACUCUAAAACGGUACGAAUCAGCUAGAAAUCGCAACAGGAAAAUCGAUAGCCGGUUAGUCACCGCACAAACCUUAAAACCGAGAGUAAGCCUAGGUCUUACCCUAAAUCCAUCGCAUUGGUCUCAGACAUCUCAAGACAUGAUAUCUAAACGAUACGAGAUCCUAAAACAUGUCUCUCCGUUCAUAUCUCUACGAAAAAAACUCACCAACAAACUAACAGAUUGAACGCAUCAACGAAGUUAAAUAUGAGAAAAAAACUCAUGUUUACUUCAAUCCCACUCGAAACAAAGUAACUCAAACAAACAUCCAUUAUAUAAACCGCAUAGCGGUAGGGGUUCAAAGCCACCAACGGCCAGUCCCGAUAAAAAUAAAAACGGCCAAAACAGGCCCAUACAAAGUUCGAAGGCCACACUUGGCCGCAAAAUACUAGAUAAGGGAAAAACUUCUUCCCGUCAAACACUCACAGAUCAAAGUUGAAAUUCCCGGACAAGGAAGCUCCAAAUGCAUCCGCGGGAUAGUUCACUUCCUCAUCAUCACCGGCAAAAUCAGUCGUGGUUUCUACGGUAUCAGGAGAAAC